CCCCUAGAUGUUCUGGGCCGCACGCGCGCUACACUGAACAGUUCAACAAGUCUUAACCUUGGCCGAUAGGUCUGGGUAAUCUUUGAACGCUGUUCGUGAUUGGGAUAGACCUUUGCAAUUAUGGGUCUUCAACGAGGAAUUCCUAGUAAACGCAAGUCAUCAGCUUGCAUUGAUUACGUCCCUGCCCUUUGUACACACCGCCCGUCGCACCUACCGAUUGAAUGGUCCGGUGAAUAAUUCGGACUGCAGCAGUGUCCAGUUCCUGGACGUUGCAGCGGAAAGUUUAGUGAACCUUAUCACUUAGAGGAAGGAGAAGUCGUAACA
rnacentral:rRNA from 1 species